AACACCUUCUUUGAAACCACUCAUGAUAGAAGGGCUUUAUAUUUGCAGCAGCACUACUACAGUUGGCAGGAAUGUUGCUGCAGGAAAACAUCCCUGGAGAUCACCAUCAUUGUCAGACUGACUGUGCCUCCUCUGUGCAGUGUCAAGAUCCUCCCUAAAUGAGUGUUUCUCAGCUAUCCUGCUUCUGUGCUGCUUGCCACACAUCAAACUCUGGCCGGAUGACAGGGAGGAUCCACUCUGAAGUCACUGGACAUUAUGAGGAUCAUAUGGGACUUCAUAGUUUCACAGUAACAUUGUGCUCUGUGAUUACAGGUUUUAAAUGGAUACAAUGACUGCCUCUCUCUGAUCAACAGGCUAAAGGAUUGUUUUCAUUGUUAGUGCUCUGUACAAUGUAUGCUUAUUUAGUAUUUCAUCACAGAGCAAACCUUUAUUUAUUUAACAUAUUUUUAUUUUGUUUUAAUGUUGAAUUAACUGUAGGGAUUUUUUUAAGUGGGCACUCGGGAUGUCAUAUGACCAGAAAUGUGGUAACUGGAAUUCAACAGUAUGGAAGAAAAAAUCUGCUAAGAACAAAACACACACAAAACC